CGUGCGUGCGUGCGUGACGUAGUCAAGCUUGUGUGUCUGUCACAGAGCGAAAGAGGCUUGCGUCGUAUUAAAUUCUCCUCUGAAGUUUAUCUGGCUGAUCUUCUAUCUGGACCUGAGAGAUGAAGAAGGCACAAUCGCUCCUUUUCCAAGCGUUGACCGUGCUUGGCAUUUGGGCUUCGCUUGGUGAGUUCACGUUUUUAUUUGACUUCAAGGUUCACUGCAAACGUUGUUGGGACUGGAUUUGUUUCUUCAGAUCAUUAGGGGAUCAAUAUAAAAGGGCAUUUUAUUGGCCCCACCUCGGGGAAAUGUAUACUUGUCAGAUUACUAGACAUAUUAAGCAAACUGUCAGUCUCAUUUGAAACAAUGGAAACAAUACAUAAUACAUCCGCGGUUUUGAGACACUUUCUGAUCCGACUGUGAACUUUUGAAAAAAGGGUGUAGUAAAGCCUAUUUAAAACUAACGACUGACUUUAAGCAUUGAUAUACCACUCAUUUAACUCACUGACCGCCACUGACUGAAAACCUGAAACAUUCACUUCGGUUUGCCUUGGAAGGCUGCAAAUGGAUUGGACGUCUAGCACCGUCAUUGGCACAGAAACGUGAGAAUCCAUAGCCAGUCCUCCCAGUUAAGAAUAAGCGCACUUCUGUUGUUGUCAGUAGUAAGCUAAACGAACCAAAAUUAUACAUUAAUACAAAUGUAUAUAUAUAACUAUUUUAAAACUAUUAAAAUUAUUAUGAAUUAAAAAAAAAUAACACUAAAUAUUACUAUUAAAUUGUAUAAUAAUAAUUUUAAUUUAAUAAUAAUAAAUUUAAUAAAUUCAUAAUAAUUUAUUUUUUAAUUUAAUUUUAUAGUAUUAUAUAAUACUAUAUUAUUAGUAGUAGUAGUAUUACUAAAUAUAAUAACACUAAAUAUAUAAUACUAAGUAUUGACUAAUGGCAGUUAAAUACUCUUGUAGUUUAGUUUUGGUUAGUUUUAGUUUUAUACUAAAGGGUCAUAGUAUUUACCUAUGAUAUAAAUAAAUAUCUACUUUUUUUAAUUCCAUUAUAAUCUUAAUGAUUUUUUAAUCAAUAAAUUAUCAAUAAACCCAAUAGAUUUGUAUUAAUGUAUAAUUGUAUUUUUUCAUAUAUAAAUAAAAUUAACAUUAAAAAAUAAAAAAUAAAUACAUAUAUGUUACAGUUCUACAUGGACUGAGGUUUUCAAUGCAACGCUUCACAUUCCAGGUGUUUUGUUUCACAUUGCGAGAUGGAUAAUUUUGUAUGUGGUGCUUGUGUGUGUGUUUUGUCAUAAUGUAUCAAACGUAGGAAGAGAAUGUCCAAAAGACAUGUGCUUCAACACAACAGAAAACUUAGCUCCAAAACCAUUGUCUGUGAUCUCAAUUGAUCUGGAUCAUGAAUACAUAUAGGUUGAGGUGCUGGAGGGGGAGGGAUAAUUGAACUUUUAAUGACCGAAGGGAAAACAAACAACAACAAAAAACCUGCAGUUGAACACAAUCUUGAUGACUUUUACAAUUGUUGUUACAAUAUGAUUAACACCCCCCACCAACACAAACCUAUAUAAAGACAAACCGAACACUUUAAAAUGCAACUUUUUUUCACCUCGACCUAUAACCUUACUCACCUUGUCUUCACUGAUGCAAAAGCAUCUAUUGCACUUUCAUAUGACAGUUGUUUUGGAAGGGCACUUCUUUCCUGGACUUGGUGGGCUUGGACUUGGUGCUGAUGUGGAUAAGUUCGCUGUAAAAUGACACAUUUCAAAGACAACCCUAUGCUGAGAGCUACAAACUCUUUUGUGAACAAGUGAUCCGUCAAAGGAUUAUCGUUGACAAAGAAGUGCUCAGAAUGGACAAGCCAAGAAGGUUGUUCGUGAACAUCGUGAAGAACCAUGAGGAUCUUGAUGCUUCAGACUACAGGCGGGAUAUGCUGAAAAGAAGAUUGAAGUACUUUAUCAUCAACAGACAAACUUUUAGACAGGAUACCUCAGUCAUCAGGUACAUCAGCUACCGACUCUACUGAGGUAAGACAAGAAAGUGACACUGAACAAAUGGCUAGCACACCAUCUGGUUGGAAAUCCACAGAACAAAGAAGGACACUUUACAGUGCAGGGCUGCUAUUGAGGACCAUUCUAAGCGAAUCACCCUCACUGAAAUGCCCAUGGCCUCCCACAGCAGAAGAUUUAAAUGUAUGUGAAGCGAAAGCUGUUGUGCCUGUUGAACAGUACAAUCGAUUGGUGCAACAGAAGAACCAACACUAGCCGGCAAAAGGGCAAACUACGAGGCAGCAGUAAUGCGACAUUGUCUGACUGGUAUGAUGUGUGCCCCUUCACCAAUUGGCAAUGGAUGGGACAUUGAGGAUGGUGAAUUAACAGUAAAAUGGAUGACUAGAAAUCCUGCCCCAGAUAGUGUGCUACAGGUAAUCCACUGUGGUUGCAAGAUAAGCAAGUGUGAGACUGAAAGAUGUUCAUGCUUGUCUGCAAAAAUGUCCUGUACAGAUUUAUGCCACUGCCAGGACUGUGAAAAUAUUUCAAAGGAAAUGGGAUGAUGACACUGAUGAUACUGAUAUUGAUGAGUAAUCACCCACCAUCUCUCCUAUGUUUAGUUUCAUUAUCAAAAUGUUACUCUCCAUUUUAACACCUUUAAAACAACAACAAAAAAAGGCUCUUUUCCCUUUUCCAAAAAAAUAGACCUUUGUUCAAUUUGACUGCCAAAAAAGAUGGAUGUUCCAAUGAAGUGCUAUUGUUUUAUUGAGAGUGCACAUUUCAUAUAUGUGUGUGUAUAUAUAUAUAUAUAUAUAUAUAUAUAUAUGUGUGUGUGUAUAUAUAUAUAUGUGUGUGUGUAUAUAUAUAUGUGUGUGUGUAUAUAUAUAUAUGUGUGUGUAUAUAUAUAUAUAUAUGUGUGUGUAUAUAUAUAUAUAUGUGUGUGUGUGUAUAUAUAUAUAUGUGUGUGUGUGUAUAUAUAUAUAUGUGUGUAUAUAUAUAUAUAUGUGUGUAUAUAUAUAUAUGUGUGUGUAUAUAUAUAUAUAUAUGUGUAUAUAUAUGUGUAUAUAUAUAUAUAUAUAUAUGUAUAUAUAUAUAUAUGUAUAUAUAUAUAUACACACUGAUACACGGCCCAUGGGAAAACCCAUGGACAGUGUAUCAAAUACUUGUUCUCCCCACUCUAUACAUAUAUAUUCCUAGAUUUUGACAAAAUUGGUGCAGGGAAACGUUGGGUGAACUUUUAACCCAAAGUUCAGAAGGGUAUUAUCUUAUCAAAAAAUGCAUUGAACAAGUAGUGCCCAGACAGUGGAACGAAACCCAUUUUCUAGGCACUUUUUCAGGGUCCACCCCAAGGCCUAAUUCUAUUUAACACAAGACUUAUUUUUCAUCCCAUACAAUUUAUUUAGCAAUUGGGGGAAAUUACUUAGAUACAUACUGUAAAAAUAUUGGAGUAGAGAGAUAAAAACAAUGAUGACAUUUUGCUGCUGUCUGUUGCAUUUUCCGCGUUCUGAAUCUUCCCCAUUGGGCUGAUUUCUAAAUCAGCUGAAAUCGUUACUCUGCCGACGUCAUCACCUAGAUGGAGGCACUAGAGCAGGGUUCUCCAACCCAGUCCUCAAGGCACACUGUGGGUCCUGGUUUUUGUUCCAGCCGAUCCAGCAGAGGCAGUUGAGCCAAUGAGGCUUCUGCUAAAACAAGCCACACCUGACUGCAAUCAAGUGAUUGCACUUGUAAAACACCAGAUUGGGGAAAAAGUGUUGUCAUCUUGUUUGGUAGGAAUGAAAUCCUGCACCCACAGUGUGCCUUUGUGGAAUAGGUUGGGGACCCCUGCACUAGAGUGCUACAAUGAUAGGCGGGGCUAAACGGCAGAUUAAAAGAAACAUUUCUCUUCAUCUGCGCUUUGCCAAAUUGUUGUAUAUAGUCGAAUGAUCUCAAAAUAUGAUUUUAAUUCACAUAAUAAUGCUAUUUAAUUUCAUCGUGUCACAGGCGCUUUAAAAGUCAGUGAUUGCAGGACUGGUUUACUUUCAAAAAGUGCUUGAGCCGAGUUUUGAGGGUUUGUAUUGCGGGACACUCCCUGAUGGCCCUACUAUGACCCUAGUCAUGGGGGCGGGGGCAAAUCAAAUACUUAAAUAGUAUUUUUUUAAAUUAAGAAACAAAGCACAUGAAAAAAAAAUACAUAGUAAUGAAGUAAUAAAAUAGAAAUAAUUCUACAUGAAAUGAAAUUCAUUCUAAAAAAAAAAUCAAAACUUCAAAAUAUAAAUGAAAAAUUAUUGAAAUAAAUCAAGAUUAAAAAAAAAAAUAAUAAUAAUAACAUUAAUUCAAAUAAGUGUCCCAUGUGUGAAUUUUGCUGUGGGAAAGUUAUUCAUUUAAUUUUGUUUUGUUUGAUGAAUCUUGUGACCUCUCAUAUCUUAACUCUAUGGCUGCCUCUUACGGUAUUCAAUCCAUUUCAACUGAUUGUUCGAUCGCUUCCAGCCCCUCCCAGUUAAAAUGGAUUGGACGUCUAUCAAUAUCUUUUACUUAUUACCACAACAAAAAUUGUGACCUGGGCUGGCGGUGGUGAGGUAAACUAAUGAUAACUUUUGGAUAGAUGUCCACUGAUGUGACCACUGUAACCGAAAGGGUUAAACAUCAUCCUCAAAAAUAAAAAGUGCAAAUUACCACACAAAUGUUCCUUUUUGUGCUAUACACAAGUGUGGAUGCAACCCCGUUGGUUACAUAACUCUGUCGGAAUGGCUGACGGUUACCCAUUUGAUUAUUUCACCUUAUAACGCAUACUGUAGCUUGAUCUGAGGCUGAAAUGCAUCCCAACUCUUCUUUCUUGAUUUCUGUCCCAAUUUACAUCCAUUGUCCAGUUCACUGGCGCCUGUGGCACAGCUGUGAUGGUGUGUGAUGUAAUCCUACUUGGUUUAGUUAUUGUUGGGUAAAGAGACAUACUAUACAUUGUAUCCAAAAAAUUGUCCAUUGCUGCCAGUUUGCUUGGAUUUAAUAAAUCAAUAUUAAAAUCUCCACAGAUGAAGAAUGUUUUCUGCUUAAUAGUGGAAAACAAUUGGCUCAUCCAUUCAGUGAAGGAAUCAAUACAUGAACCCGGUGAUCGAUAGAUUCAACUGACAAUUAUAUUUUUCUUUUUUUCAUUGGAGAUCUCUAUUGUCAAACAUUCCAAGUGUUCUUGACAUAUCUAUUCAAUUCAAUUUUAUUUGUAUAGCCCUAAAUCACAACAAGGUUGUCUCAAAGGGCUUUGCAGAGGCAAUAUGAUACAAAAUCAGAAACAGCAAAUGAAGCAAUGAAGAUGAAUACAUACAUUUCAAGUCCUGGGCAUCCCCCAUCCUUAGACCCUCCAUGUCGGCAAGGAAAAACUCCAAAAACUCCAGAGUCUUUGGGAGAAAAUGAGAAACCUUGGGAAGUACCACACUGAGGAGAGAUCCACUCCCGGGACAGAUAGGCAGGGAGCACCAGUACUGCUAAUGGGAAUUAGCAGGCGAAGUUACAGUCCGUAAAGAUACAUUGGAGUAAAGGAACAAGAAGAGGUCCAUCUAGCCAGAUGAGACGGGGGUAGCAACGAGGACAUCCAUCCAGCCAGGGGUCCGGACAGUCAGGAGGCUGCAGCUGAAAAAGGGGUGGGGGGAAAGGGGAGACCGGGUGACGAGUGAUGAAGAGACUAGACAGAUAUUACCAUAUUACUAGAUAUUACCAUUGGAAAAUAGAAAUUAAGUAAGACAAGUGGUACUGUAGGUAGAGUGAGAAAAAGGAGAUAGAACUCAGUGGCUGUACUUCCCCCAGCAUUAUAGCUUCUAGUGCAGCUGUAUCUGUUAAUACCAUACAUUUAAUUGAUUUAUGAAUAUAUAGGGCAACUCCACCACCAGUUUUCUUUUCUCUAUGUAUUUUAAUUCGUAAUCAUCCAUAAGAAAAUCAAUACCUUUAUCAAUAUUAAACCACGUUUCUGUGAUCGCAAUUAUGCUGAAGGGGUGUGUAAAUUGGUGCAGAUAGUCUUUGGUAGAGCUGACAUUUUUGUACAUGCUUCUGCUGUUGAAAUGUAUAAUUGACAGUUUUGCCCAUUGAGUUGAUAUGAUUUUCAUACAGAUCUUGUGUAAAAAUAAUCGCAAUUGGUAACAGUAGAAGAAAAGAAAUGAUUGUCAGGAUCACUUUCUAUAUUAGGGACUCUUUUGUUGGACUCGUUGGAUUUAAAGGCCUCAAGUUCUAUUUGUUUGUUCUGAAGGGUUCGCAGAAGUGGAUCAAUGUCGCUCUUAUUCCUGAGUACAGUUCGUGUGUUUGAUGUAUCGUUCAUAGUCAUUGUAUGCAGAGAUGGUACCUGGUCUUGAUAGGUAUCAGUACUUUUCAAGCUCUUCAAUAUCUCGCACCAUCAGCACUUUUGCUUCCUCAGGCGUUCCGUUCCAUUUAAUGUAUAUUUUACAAUUGACUACCCACGUGUGUUGAAUCUUGCGUUGCUUUUUAAGAUAUCUUGCCUUUUUGGCGAUAUCAGCAUUCUUCCGUGUUAAGUGAUCGUUCAUAUAUACGUCGGUACCCUUCAACUUGCGACCUUGUUUCAGCAGCAUUGUCUUGUUUUUUCGACUGAUAAAUCUCACGAUGAUGGCUGGCGGUCUGUCAUUCCUCAUCGGCAUUGAGUGGCACGCCUCGAUGUGCUCCAAGUCCAACGUUAUUCCCUUGCUCCGAAGGUAAGAUGCCACUUGUUGCUCCACCGAGUUUUCCUCCUGCUGGCUGGGUUCCCCGUCGUCCGUGGCCACCGCACGCGCAUAAGUGCGCGGUCGGAUCUUAUAAAUGACUUUCCAAUAUAUGGAUUUAAAAUUAAGACGUUGCCGGUAAAAUGUUGUCUGUAAAAGUUGUAAAGCAAUAAAACAAACAACAAAAAUGAAUGAAAUGAACAAAAAACAUUUUUUGUAAUGGGUAAAAAAAAUAUUUUUCAAAAAGAUCAUGUGACUAGUGUUGGGUUUUGUGUUGUUUUUUUCCUUAGUGUGACUUGUCUCUGUGAUUACCCAUUGAUUUCACCUGUCGUGCCUGCACAUAGUGAGUCCUCCUGUAUUACCCAGCUGUUCCUCGUUGUCUCGUUACCCCUUGUCUGCAUGUGUGUGUGUAUAAAAGCACCCAGUUUCUUUUCAGUCCUUGUUGCGUCAUUGUCAAUGUAAGUGUCUAUGUCAACGUCAAAGUCCAUGUCAGGUUCUCAUCAGCAGUAUUCACGCCUAUCCAAGCCCUUAAGUUCCAAGUGAGUUUUUGAAAAGCAGUCUUUUGUUAGUGACAGUUUUUGUUUGCCUCAGUGCCUUCUUUGGAUUAUCACAGCCUUUGUUUGUACUUUGUUUUUCGUUGGCUUUAAUUAAAUCAUUUUUGCACCAUUCAUCUGCCUUGCCUACAUUUCCCUGCAUUUGGGUCCACCUUGCCCGCCCGCGCUCCCUGACAACUAGCACCUUAGAGACGGUCAUUUGCUUUGCUAAGCCACCCCCAAAAAACACUGGAGGUCAGAAGAGGCAAGAUGGAUAUACAUCAUUUUUUUCAAACCUAAGCUUUCAAAAGCGACAACAACUACUGAGCGAGAACCAAGAACUGAAGAUGUGGACCAUGAAACACCGGAGAGCAUCGCCAAAAUGGUGAGCGGAAUUUCAGUUGGCUCCACUUCAGACGUUAACCCCCAAAAAUGGAAACAAGGUAAAAAAAAAAAAGUUCAUUUUCAACGUAUUAUUAUAAAUGAUGUUCCUGGCUGAAAUAUUCAGCCAAAACAGAUGCGGCGUCUACUUCUCCACGAGGUAAGACAGAAAAACGCACACACGCAGACGCACACACAGCUGGGAUGCCUGUAUGUACGAGCAUGGGCUAAGCUACUAUCGGAGCAUAUAUCGUGUAAGUUGAUUUUAUUGCUGACACUGCGUUUCGGGGUCAUCAACAUUUUUGGCCCCUCUUGCCAGAAAAGUCAAACUCCACCUUAUGGUUUUACCACGCGAUACUUUUUACUUUGACUUGAGUAGAUUUGUGAUGAAACACAACUCUUACUCCACUACUUUGGGCUACACUAGUCAUUACAUUUUUCGUCUUUAUUGUACAUAUUGACUUUAUUCUCGCAAGAGGUGCCGACAGUGGCCGUCUCAGUUGUACCAAUGAGACGUCGCAACAAUAACCACAUGACUCCAUUAUACGUUAUAAGUAGCGGUAACAAUGUUUGUUCUCCGCUAGAGGGCACUCAUGCUCUGGGUGGUGAUUCAUCGUGUUGUUCUGGUCUGAAUUUGAGGGUUUGUGUGUCAUCUUUUUGGCCGGAUAGGUUAUAGUACAGUAUGAUAAUGACAGUCCAUCUACUAGUAGAUGAAGUUGUGCUUUGAAAAAAAUAUAUAACAUUAUUAUUUUUUUUUUUUUCAU